CCAUUGAACUUUGGGCUUGAGGCUGCAUGGGACAAUGCUGUAAUGGUGGAGUGGUAACAGGGAGCCUUUGUAACACAGUGACAAAGCCAGCUGUAUGUGCCCAAGUGCUCCUGCUUGCUAAGCCUGUAAUAUCAGUCCCAGUUCUGUUCUCCUUCUUUCCCCUCCAGGAAUUGGUUUGUACUUAGGUAGAAUAAGUCACUGUUUGUGUGUUUACUUCUUUUCUGCUUACAGUUCUCAUUGAAUCCCACAGUGGGUAAGAGGGGGAAAGCUCAAGUGAGGCUAAAAUCAUCAUGCUUUAUGCAGAUUUGCAAUUCUCCAUCCUGUGUUAGGUUUUUUUAUCAGUGUUAAAUAACAAAGUUCAGCUAUUCCCCAGCUGAUCUUCUCCAGGCUCUUUCCUGGGCUUAUUGCUGAGCUGCUCCCGGGGCAGUGUCUGAGCAGGUUCUGCAGCCAUAUUUGCCGUGCUGUCUCUGCUACAGGGACAAGCUGUAGAACAGUUUCUUCCUGCUCCUCUUAUGCCUCCAUCCUAAAAGGAGAAAUAUACAGAAUAUACAGAGAUAUCAUUCAGGAUUUCUGUUUGAAGCAGGGAUAAAACUUUUCCUGACACUCUUGAAGUAGCAAGGAGAAAUGGUCAGAAGGUUGCCAAGCUGAGAGCUGCUGUUGAGGUGGAGGACGUUCACUGUGAGAGGCCAUAUUCUGCAGCCUGUACUCCGUACUGAUCCACAGGCAUGGUUUGGGGCAGCUUUUCCCUGAAGGUGAGCUCUGGAGAUACCAGUGGCUGAUGAGAAGCCAUUGUGUGCCCGAGAGGCCAGCUAGUAGCUGUGCAGGGAUAGUCUUGCAGAGAAGAGCUGGAGUGCAUGAGCAUGGAUAACUGUGGGACGACAUGAGGCUUUCCCUGCAAACUGAAGAAUAGCUUGGCUAUGGCCUGCAUCCUGACCAGGUGAAUCAGUCCAGAUUACCUCCAGAUCUGCCAGAAGGAUGUUUCAUAUGGACAACAGAUGAUCUUGAAUGCUGUAUGGAGGCCAAGGAGCUGACCCAGCAGUGGAUCCUCCUUGUAGUCAGAUGGUUGCUUUGUUCUGUUGUCUUCCAUCAAGCACCCCAGGUACUGUAGCAGUGACAUACGGCUCUUUGGCUUCAAUCAGUGCCUCCUGAGUGCACUAUUACUCAUGUAUCCAAGACUGAUUGGAGGUAAUUCAUGUAUGUGUGGACUUCAGCACCUGGGACCGGAGUGGUGUUGCAGACUGUUAACAAGAAUACUUGAAAGUGCAGAACCUGAAAACAGAUGAUAACUUGUGUGUGAUAGGAAAAUGUUCCAGUGGUUAUUUAAUAACAAAGCUAUUUCAAAGUGGUUAAAGAAGUAUUAAAGGGGCUCUCCAGGAGUCUCACAUUACUAUAGUAACAACAGGGAGGCAGGGAACAAGUUAAAUAAUGUUUGCCAGUAGCACUAAUUUGCUUCUGUGAGUAAAAUCUAUGGACAGCUGGAGGUAAACACUUCAUGAAUAGCCUCCGACUUGAUGAAAGAUUGAGUAGUGAAGUUUCAGUUUGGAUAAAAGUACAUCAUCUCAUGAUGUCAGCUGGAGCCAUUGCUACUCUGCAGGUUUGCAGGGAAGUUUGGAGAAAGGCCCCUAGGAAUGACUGGGGAAGCACGAGUGAAAUCCUCCUCCUUUUGUGUGACUGAGGAUGUUUCCAGUGCAGUUUGAUCACAGAAGGCCUCAAUAUGAAAAGGAUUUACUUUGUGGAAUUGUUCUGUCAUUACUCAGCAGGAUAAUUGACUUCUGAUUAGGAAGAAAAUAAAGCUGAAUGUGUGUGUUUGAGGUUAUAAAGUCCUCUUCAAAAGGCAGAGCUCUUACUUAAACAGCGACAGCUCAGACAAGAACAGGAUGCUUGCGACUCCUUUAUGCUGGCAUUGAUGUAACAGCUGUUGUUGUUUAAACAACUUGUUUCUCCAUUCUUCAUGCUCCUUCCUCCUCCUGUUGUAAAUCAAAGGAAGAAGAGUGGGAAUCAGUUUUGUUAUCUUUGAAAAAUUUAAUAACCUUGUCUUUUUAUCUUUUGGAAAUGGUUUUGUCUUAUGAAUCAUAGAAUCAUAGAAUGGCCUGGGUUGAAAAGGACCACAAUGACCAUCUGGUUUCAACCCCCUGCUAUGUGCAGGGUCGCCAACCAGCAGACCAGGCUGCCCAGAGCCACAUCCAGCCUGGCCUUGAAUGCCUCCAGGGAUGGGGCAUCCACAGCCUCCUUGGGCAACCUGUUCAGUGCGUCACCACCCUCUGGGUGGAAAAACUUCCUCUCAAUAACCAACCUAAAUCACUUCUGUCUUAGUUUAAAACCAUUCCCCCCAUCCUAUCACUAUCCACCCUUGUGGGACUCAGACCCACUGCUGUCGGGGUGCUGAUGGCUGGAAAAUAGUGAUUUCUUUCUGACCCUUUUUCUGACACUACCUCCAAAGUGGCACAGGAACUAAAAGCAAGCCUAGGCCAGCCUUUCUGCUGCCUACAGGGAGUUCAGGUGUGGAGGAGGUGGGCAUCUCACUGUGGAGAUGAUGCUUAAAGUUUUAGAAGAAAUCUUGGCUUAUGGAGGUGAGCAAGGGUCUGUCUUUUCUCACUGUAACUAUUAUCAUUGAAUCAUUUGAGUUGGAAGGGACCUUUAAAGGCCAUCUGGUCCAACACCCCUGAAAUGGACAGGGACACCCACAGCUCCAUCCGUGCUCAGAGCCCCGUCCAGCCUGACUUUGGAUGUCUGCAGAGAUGGGGCACCCACCGCUCUCUGGGCAACCUGUGCCAGUGCCUCACCACCCUUACUGUAAAAAAGCUUCUCCUUAUAUCCAAUCUAAAUCUUUGCUGUUUUAUUUUGAAAUGAUUUCCUCUCACCCCAUCAGAGCAGACGCUGCUAAGGAGUCUGUGCCCUUCUUUCUUGUUGCCCCCCUUUAGAUUACUGGCCUGAAAUUUCAUUUCUGCUUCUGUGAGCAAGCUUCAGCCUUGGACCUGUUUUAGACAGUGCUGCAGGAAAAAAUUACCUGGAAACUUGAAUCUUUAAUAAUCAUCACUGAAGAGCCAGGUUAUGACCCUGCCUGCUAGUAUUUCCACUUCUGAAAAGAGACAGGAUGUGGGUGGCUGAUCUGGAAUGGGUUCAGUGGCAUUGCACAGGGCCUCAACCCUCUGUGCCAACGUCCAGCUGUGGCUGCUGCUCUGGAUGAUGCAGAUCUUACAGGUGUACUUCAAGUCUUAUGAGAGUACUUUCAGAAUAGAGCUCUGAGUUGGGAGAAAUGGAAGAUGAAUGCAUUGCUGCAUUGAAACUGCCCCUAAGGAGGGGAAAACGCACUUCUUCCCUUUCGUCCUGAAUCCUCUGCUUCAUCAUGUGCUGAUCCAGCUGCUCUUUCCCUGUAGACAGAUUUAGUGUCCUUUUAAUUCUGCCUAAAGCCCUCACUGUGAGGCGUUGCAGAGCUGAUUCCUUUGAGGGGGAAAAGGAAGCCUGCCUUAGGUCUCUGGGGAACUAAUUUGUGCCAAUACUCUUGGGUUUGCCAUUCAAGUGUAUCUUUGUUGCUAUAUGCUUCUGCCUUUGAGAUGCAGAGUGAGGUGGUUCAUCAGGUCUGCUGAUGGCUGUGGGACUGUAAACACAGUUCUUGAUCUUUUGCAUGAUGGAGCAGGGGGGAUUUUGUAUCAGAAACAGUGUAGCCUGCAGGAAUGGUAACAGUUCAUCUGUACUCUGUACUGGUGGGAUUGAGUACUGUGCUCUGUUCGGGGCCCCUCACUACAAGAAAGACAUUGAGGUCCUGGAGUGUGUCCGGAGAAGGGCAGUGAAGCUGUGAAGGGUCUGGAGCACAGGUGUUAUGGGGGAGCAGCUGAGGGGGCUGGGAUGGGUCAGUCUGGAGAAGAGGAGCUCAGGGGAGACCUCAUUGCUCCCUGCAUCUCCCUGAAAGGAGGCUGUGAUGAGGUGGGGAAUGGCCUCUGCUCCUGGGUAACAGUGAUAGGAUGAGACAUGUUCGCCUCAAAUUGUGCCAGUGGAGGCUCAGGUUGGAUGUUAGGAAACGUUUCUGCUCUCAAAGGGUGGUGAUGCAGUGGCACAGCUGCCCAGGGAGAAGUGAUGCGUGGGGCAACCAUCAGAAAAGCAGUGCUUUUGUAUUAUGGUGCUUUCCCAAAUCAAGUUGCUCCCCUGGAAAUAGUUGUGUUUGCUUACAGCCACCUUGCUUCAAAAAUGUGCAGGAAUUGUGGGCACGUUGUUUCUGCAGCAUACGCUCUGUGAUGUUUUCUGUGCUAGAGCCAGCUUGGAAAAUGAAUGAAAAAAGAAAUGUUUUGCUCAUUCUUGCUGGAUACUUAAUGGAGCUCAUUGGCAGCAGUGUUCCUUCCCCAGGGAUCUUUCUAGAGUCAUUAGGCUCAGUGAAGGAUGAUCUGGAAGAGUCUGCUUGUAAGAAACUGCUGCUUCUCUGAAGUGUGAAACGUUUCCUGGCUAUAGGAGCUGUCAGCCACCCCUGAGCAGCUGCAAAGAGAUAACAGAGGAGCUGGGAAGGGCAGAUUGAGAGGUUAGUACCUCUAUCCGUAAAUAAAUAAUAACACAUAGGGGCAAAAAAUCCUUCAACUUCAAGGAUAGUGCUACACCUGCAAAGAGAGGAGGGCAGGAAUUUGCUGCUUUUCUGCUCAGCUGGGCUGCCCUUUGGGAAACAGGCAUUUUCAAGAAGGAUUUUGAUGCAAUUUCCAGGUGUGACUGUGAUAAUGUUUUCAGUGCAGCAUUUUGAGGGAGAAACCUUUACUGAACAUAACCUUGGGCAAGAUUUAAAAAAAAAUCAAGGGUGAUAGGAAGUGAUAAAAGAGUUGGCAGUCACGCAACUAUGGAUAUGUGUGGGAAGGCCAAAAAUGUGCUCUGUUUCUUAUCAUAAAGAAGGAAACAACUCUGGUAUCAGGAAAGUAGAAGGCUGCCCUCUGACGGCUCCUGUCCUCCCGAGUGUCAGCCCAAGCACAGCUGUAUGUUGUGUUGCAGGGUCCUCACAGGGAGGUGGAUGUCCCAAAUGAGCUCCAAAGCCACGAGCAUUCGUUGGAAGGACCCCAGAACAGCAGCCAGGUACAGUCAGUCCAGCUGCAUCACAUUGCAUUGUGUUAAAACAGGGCAGCAGUUCUUGCCUGGAGGUGCCUUGAUUGGAAGGUGUCAUCAAGAUGAGGUGUACUGCGAAUAAAUAGAUUUCUGCAGGACUUGUUUGGUGUGCAGUGGAUGCAUUUAAUAAUGUCAUAGUAUUUACUCAUUUAUCUAGAAGCCAAGGGCAUAGGUGAAAUUUCGAGCCCCCCCCCAAAAUUGACUCUUAUCACUAAAAAUGUGGUUGAGAUGCAUUAUUUUAACUCCUGUGUUACCUCCAUCCUCAGUGAGCAGAUUGGAGAAGCAGCAGUGAGCUGUAUGGCAAAGGAAACAACCUGCAGCAUGGGAAGAGCCAGGGCUGAGUCUGGGUGCAGUGACCAUAUCCGGGUCCCCACAGGGGCGGGGGGUCAGAGCAGGUCUAACCAAUUGCAGCUGCAAACAUCUGCUGGUCCCACCCCAGAACUUUUCUCCUCACAGUGCCAGAUUGUAACAGCACGUGUAAUGCCGGCAUUACACCACUGGCUGUUUGCUUCUUUGGCCAGGUUUCAGAUUUGCUUGGUGUUAGGCACUGCCUUGGCCUUGGAUUGGCAGAGAGUAGGUAGUCAGUGUCCCACACAGUAGCCACUAAGCUGACUUCUCG
ensembl:lncRNA